UUGCUUUGGCAGCACAUAUGCUAAAAUUGGAAUGAUACAGAGAAGAUUAGCAUAGCCCCUGCACAAAGAUGACACCCAAAUUCUUGAAGUGUUCCAUAUUUUU